UACGUAGGGUGCAAGCGUUGAUCGGAAUUACUGGGCGUAAAGCGUGCGCAGGCGGUUUUGUAAGUUUGUCGUGAAAUCCCCGGGCUCAACCUGGGAAUUGCGAUGAAGACUGCAAGGCUAGAAUCUGGCAGAGGGGGGUAGAAUUCCACGUGUGAGCAGUGAAAUGCGUAGAGAUCAGGAGGAAUACCGAUGGCGAAGGCAGGUCCCUGGGCUGACACUGACGCUCAUGCACGAAAGCGUGGGAGCAAACAGG
rnacentral:rRNA from 1 species